CAACCGGCACAACACAACAAAAUGGCCGCUGCGUCGCUGGACGCCUGAAAGGAAGAAGCUGCGCGUCUCCAGCCCGCCUCGUCCCACGGGCCUGUUCUGCUCGGCUCCCUGGCGGUUUUGAUGGACACCCGGCUUUAUUCUUGCCAUGAAGAAAAGUUCUCAACAAAAAUUUUCCAGUGCAAAGAUGCCCCCAUCACCUCACUCUCCUAGUCUACCAUCCCUUGUGUCCAGUAUGAGAUCUAGGUCACUUUCACCUCUAAGUGGAUCUGAGACUCUUCGUUUUGGAGGACAAUGGAAUGAGCAAGUUGAGAUUACAGAUGGAAACAUGGUGCUUUUGGACUACCAAGACCAUAAAGAAGCUGAUGCACAUGCAGGAAUCCGAUAUAUUACAGAGGCCCUUGUUAAAAAACUUACUAAACAGGACAAUUUGGCCUUUGUAAAGUCGCUGAACCUUUCACUUGCUAAAGAUGGUGGCAAGAAAUUUAGGUAUAUCGAAAAUUUGGAAAAAUGUGUUAAACUUGAAGUACUGAAUCUCAGCUAUAAUCUAAUAGGGAAGAUUGAGAAAUUGGACAAGCUGUCAAAAUUACGUGAACUCAACUUAUCAUAUAACAAAAUCUGCAAAAUUGAAGGCAUAGAAAAUAUGUAUAAUCUGCAAAAGCUAAACCUUGCAGGAAAUGAAAUUGAACAUAUCCCAGUAUGGUUAGGGAAGAAGUUAAAAUCUUUGCGAGUCCUCAAUCUGAAAGGCAACAAGAUAUCAUCGCUCCAAGAUGUAAGCAAGUUGAAACCACUUCAAGAUUUGACUUCUCUGAUCCUACUUGAAAAUCCAAUUGUGACCCUUCCUCAUUACAUCCAGUUUACCAUUUUUCAUCUUCGCUCAUUGGAAAGUUUGGAAGGUCAGCCAGUAUCUACCCAGGACAGACAAGAAGCUUUUGAGAGAUUCAGCUUAGACGAGGUAGAAAGACUGGAAAGGGAUCUGGAGAAGAAGAUAAUGGAAACUGAAGAGCUUAGGAGUGAGCAGACAAGGUUCCUUGAGGAAAUUAAAAGUCAAGAUAAAUUGAACAAAUCACUGAAAGAGGAGGCCAGGUUACAAAAACAGAACUAUGAAGAGAUGGAGAGUAACCUGAACACAAAAAAUGAAUUGCUAAAACAGAAGACCAUGGAACUAAUGCGAGCAUGUCAGAAACAGUAUGAGAUGGAACAGGAAUUGGCCUUUUAUAAAAUUGAUGCCAAAUUUGAGCCACUAAAUUAUUACCCAUCAGAGUAUGUUGAAAUUGAUAAAACCCCAGAUGAAAGCCCUUACAUUGGCAAAUCCAGAUACAAGAGAAAUAUGUUCACUACAGAGAGUUAUAUCAUUGCAAAUGCCCAGACAGUAAAGAUCAAGAAGAUGGAGCCAGACGAAGGGGAACAACUCAGAAAUGAGCAUGUGAACUUGGGAGCCCAUACAUCACUGGACAUACAACUGGAAGACAAAGAAAAAAAAAUAAGUGCAGCACAAACUCGACUAUCAGAACUACAUGAUGAAAUAGAAAAGGCAGAACAACAAAUUUUAAAAGCUACUGAAGAAUUUAAACAGCUGGAAGAAGCUAUACAACUUAAAAAAGUUUCAGAAUCGGAGAAAGACCUUCUUUUCAAGCAGUUGAGUGGUAGGAUACAGCUUCUCAAUAAAUUACGCCAAGAAGCUAUGGAUCUAGAAACGCAGAUGGAAAAGCAAAGCCAAGAAAUUGCUGAAAAGCAGAAUGAAAUCAAGGACCUGCAAAUAGCCAUCGAUAGCCCGGAUUCCAGAGACCCAAAACAUUGCCAUAUGAAGGCUCAGAAAAGAGGUAAAGAACAACAACUUGACAUUAUGAACAAGCAGUACAAACAACUUGAAAGCCAUUUGGAUGAGAUACUUUCUAGAAUUGCCAAAGAAACUGAAGAGAUUAAGGACCUUGAACAACAGCUUACUGAAGGACAAAUAGCAGCAAACGAAGCACUGAAGAAGGAUUUAGAAAGUGUCAUCAGUGGGUUGCAAGAAUACCUGGAGACUGUCAAAGGCCAGGCCGCUCAGGCCCAGAAUGAGUGCAGAAAGCUACAGGAUGAGAAAGAGACAUUGCUGCAGAGAUUGAGUGAGGUCGAGCAGGAGAGGGACCAACUGGAAAUAGUGGCCAUAGAUGCAGAAAAUAUGAGGAAGGAGCUCGCAGAACUAGAGAGUGCCCUCCAGGAGCAGCAUGAGGUGAAUGUGUCCCUGCAGCAGACCCAGGGAGAUCUCAGUGCCUAUGAGGCUGAGCUAGAGGCUCAGCUGAAAAUACGGGAUGCUGAAGCCAGCCAGCUCAAGGAGGAGUUGGAAGAACUUAGAAGGCUCAGCCAGUUAGAACAAUCGGCCCUUCAAGAGGAACUUGAGAAGGAAAAGCAAGCCCUCAAGAAUGCUGUCAGAAAAGCCCAGCUCUCAGAAGGAAAGGACCAAGAAAAUAGUGAGCUCCGCACACAGCUCAGACAGCUGCAGGAUGACAAUGACCUAUUAAAACAGCAACUUAAAGAUUUCCAGAGUCACCUUAACCAUGUGGUUGAUGGUUUGAUUCGUCCAGAAGAAGUGGCAGCUCGUGUGGAUGAGCUAAGGAAAAAACUGAAGUCAGGAGCUGGGGAGAUGAGAAUCCAUACUUCUUCAGAUGUCUUAGGGAAAAGUCUUGCUGAUUUGCAGAAACAAUUCAGUGAAAUCCUUGCACGCUCCCAGUGGGAGAGACAGGAAGCCCAAGUGAGAGAGAGAAAGCUUCAGGAAGAAAUGGCCCUGCAGCAAGAGAAACUGGCAAGCGGACAAGCAGAGUUCAGGCACGCCUGCGAGAGGGCCCUGGAAGCACGGAUUAGUUUUGAUAAGAGGCAGCACGAAGCAAGAAUCCAGCAGUUGGAGAAUGAAAUUCACUAUUUGCAAGAAAAUCUAAAAAGUAUGGAGGAAAUCCAAGGCCUUACAGAUCUCCAACUUCAGGAAGCUGAUGAAGAGAAGGAGAGAAUUCUGGCCCAACUCCGGGAGUUAGAGAAAAAGAAGAAACUUGAAGAUGCCAAGUCUCAGGAACAAUUUCUUGGUUUAGAUAGAGAAUUGAAGAAACUAAAGAAAGCCGUGGCCGCCUCUGAUAAGCUAGCCACGGCUGAGCUCACCAUUGCCAAAGACCAGCUCAAGUCCCUUCAUGGAACUGUGAUGAAAAUUAACCAGGAGCGAGCAGAGGAGCUGCAGGAGACGCAGAGGUUCAGCAGAAAGGCAGCGCAAGCGGCCAGGGAUCUGACCCGAGCCGAAGCGGAGAUUGAACUCCUGCAGAACCUUCUUAGAGAUAAAGAGGAGCAGUUUCAAAAUGAGAUGGAGAAAGUAGAUGUUGGCACUGGAGGAGUGAAUUCACAGGUGCUGGAGUUGGAGGCACUAAAUGAGACAAUGGAGAGACAAAGGACAGAGAUCGCAAGGCUGCGGAAUUUACUGGACCUCACCGGGGCUGAUGUUAACAAAGGAAGCUUUGAAAAUGUUUUGGAAGAAAUUGCCGAACUUCGACGUGAAGUUUCUCAUCAGAAUGAUUACAUCAGCAGCAUGACCGAUCCUUUCAAAAGACGAGGCUAUUGGUACUUUAUGCCACCACCGACAUCAUCAAAAGUUUCCAGCCACAGCUCCCAGGCCACCAAGGACUCUGGCGUUGGCCUAAAGUACACGGCCUCAACUCCUGUUAGACAACCACGUCAUGGACAGCAGGAUGGAAAGCACGACAGUGGGCCUCCACCUGUCUCAGGAUACUGGGUGUAUUCUCCCAUCAGAAGUGGGUUACGUAAAUCGUUUUCAAAUAGAGAUGCAGACAGCGGAGGAGAUAGCCAGGAAGAGAGCCAAAUGGAUGACCAAGAGGUCCAGUCAUUUGUACCUCCCCCCGGAUACAUGAUAUACCCUGUGUUUCCUGAUGGUUCUCCUGUACCCCAGGGCAUGGCCCUGUAUGCACCCCCUCCUCCCUUGACCAAUAAUAGCCAACCUCUCAACCCUGGGGCUGUUGUUUAUGGCCCACCUCCUGUUGGGGCUCCCAUCGUGUAUGGUCCUCUACCUGCCAACUUGUCUGUACCCCACAUCCCCGUGGGGGUGCUGCAUUGCAACGUCCCAGAACACCAUAACUUGGAGAAUGAAGUUUCUAGAUUAGAAGACAUAAUGCAGCAUUUAAAAUCUGAGAAACAGGAACCGUGCAUGAGAGCAUCUAAGUGGCAGUCGGAGAAAGAACUGGAAGAACUGCAUCAUAAUAUUGAUGGUCUUUUGCAAGAGAAGAAAGACUUAGAGUAUGAAGUAGAAGAAUUACAUAGAACCAUCCAGAAACAUCAACAGCGAAAAGACUUCAUAGAUGGAAAUGUUGAAAGUCUUGUGAAUGAACUAGAAAUAGAGAAGUCACUCGAACACCAUGAAGAUAUUGUUGAUGAAAUUGAGUGCCUCGAGAGGACCCUUCUGAAGCGUCGCGCAGAGCUCAGGGAAGCCGACCGCCUGCUGGCAGAGGCCGAAAGGGAACUUUCAUGCACGAAAGAGAAAACCAAAAAUGCUGUUGAGAAGUUUGCAAAUGCCAAGAGAAAUUUAUUGCAAACCGAGAAAGAUGCUGAGGAGUUAGAAAAGAGAGCCCAGGAAACUGCUGUUAACCUUGUCAAAGCCGACCAGCAGCUCAGGUUGCUCCAGGCUGACACAAAGGAUUUGGAGCAGCACAAAAUGGAGCAAGAGGAAAUCUUGAAAGAAAUAAACGAAGUUGUAGCGGCAAAAGACUCAGACUUCCAGUGUCUAAACAAGAAGAAGGAGGUCCUGACGGGAGAGCUGCAGCAACUGCAGAAGGACAUCGAGACCGCACAGCACAGUGAGGGUUACCAUCUGCAGGUCCUCAGAGAGUCAGAGAACCUCCUGCAGGCCAAGAAAGCUGAGCUGGAAAAGCUGAAAAGGCAGGUGUCGGGUCAGCAGCAGGAGACGGCCGUCUUAGACAGGCAGUUAGGGCGUAAAAAGGAAGAACUGCAUCUCCUCCAGGAAAGCAUGGUCCAGGCCAAAGCUGACCUCCAGGAAGCGCUGAGACUGGGAGAAACCGAAGUAAUUGAGAAGUGCAAUCACAUUCGGGAAGUAAAAUCUCUUCUGGAAGAACUCAGUUUUCAGAAAGGAGAACUGAAUGUCCAGAUUAGUGAAAAAAAAACUCAACUCGCACUCAUAAAGCAGGAAAUUGAAAAAGAGGAAGAAAAUCUUCAGGUAGUUUUAGGACAAAUGUCUAAACAUAAAACUGAACUAAAGAAUAUUCUGGACAUGUUGCAACUUGAAAACAAUGAGCUGCAAGGUUUGAAGCUACAGCAUGAUCAAAAGGUGUCUGAAUUAGAGAAGACUCAGGUUGAAGUGCUGGAGGAGAGACUGGAGUUAGAGAGCCUGCAGCAGACGGCCCUGCGACAGAGAGGGGAGAUAGAGUGGCAGAAGCAGCUCCUCGAGAGGGACAAACGGGAAGUAGAGCAGAUGACUGCUGAGACCCGAGCGUUACAGUCGUCUAUUGAGUCUUUGUGCAAAGAAAAGAAAGAUCUCGAAGGAAAACAGGACAGCUGGGAAAAGAAGUUGGCACAGACCAAACGGGUUUUAGCAGCGGCAGAAGAGAAUAGCAAAAUGGAGCAAGCAAACUUGGAAAAGUUGGAAUCAGAUGUCAGAAAGCUGCAGCAGGAGCUAGAUGGACUCAACAGAGAGAAGCUCUCACUGCAGGAAGACCUGAGAGCAGCUCAGCAGCAGCUGCAAGAAAAACGAGAAGCAAUAAAGUCACUACAGAAGGAACUAGCUGAUGUCCAAGACCAUUUGAACCUAGCGAGACAGGACGUGCUUCACACCACCAAGCAUAAGGACGUGCUGCUUAGUGAACAGACCAGGCUCGAGAAGGACAUCAGUGAAUGGAUGAAGAGGCUUGAAGACUGCCAGAAAGAAGGGGAGACAAAGCAGCAACACCUUCAAGCGCUUCAGAAUGAGAUUGAAGGAAACAAGACUAAGCUAGCCCAACAAGAAAUGAUGUUUCAGAGACUGCAGAAAGAGCGAGAACAUGAAGAAAAGACGUUAGAAGCCAGGAAAGUGGCUCUGAUGGAGCAGCAGCAGCAGCUCGAAGGGGAGAUAGGCGAGCAGAAAGGCAGGCUGGACCAGGUGCUCGCCAAGCUGUUGGCGGCGCAGGAGCGCGUCAGGACCUUGCAGGAAGAGGAGAGGUGGAGUGACACCCUGGAGAAAACGCUCUCCCAGACCAAACGACAGCUUUCAGAACGGGAACAUCAGUUAUUGGAAAAGUCAGGUGAGCUGCAGGCUCUCCAGAAAGAGACAGACUCUAUGAGGGCAGACUUUAGCCUCUUACGGAACCAGUUCUUGACAGAAAGAAAGAAAGCUGAGAAGCAAGUUGCUAGCCUGAAGGAAACACUAAAGAUCCAGCGGAGCCAGCUGGAGAAGAACCUUCUGGAGCAAAAGCAGGAGAACAGCUGCAUGCAGAAGGAGAUGGCAACGAUCGAACAGGUGGCCCAGGACAACCAUGAGCGGGCCAGGCGCCUAAUGAAGGAGCUCAACCAGAUGCAGCAUGAGUACACGGAGCUCAAGAAACAGAUGACAAACCAAAAAGAUCUGGAGAGAAGACAGAUGGAAAUCAGUGACGCGAUGCGAACACUUAAAUCUGAGGUGAAAGAUGAAAUCAGAACCAGCCUGAAGAAUCUCAACCAGUUUCUUCCAGAACUACCAGCAGAUCUGGAGGCUAUUUUGGAAAGGAAUGAAAAUGUAGAAGGAGGGUUGGAAAGCUUGAAAGAGAACUUCCCAUUCACCAUGAGUGAGAGACCAUCACCUUUUGAAGAAAAACUGAACUUUUCCCAGACUCACAUAAUGGAUGAACACUGGCGUGGAGAAGCACUCCGAGAGAGACUGCGUCACCGUGAAGAUCGACUCAAGGCCCAGCUUCGACACUGCAUGUCCAAGCAAGCAGAAGUGCUAAUUAAGGGGAAGCGGCAGACAGAGGGCACGUUACACAGCUUGAGAAGACAAGUGGAUGCUUUAGGGGAACUGGUCACCAGCACUUCUGGAGACUCCACAUCGUCACCCGGCCUGUCUCAGACAGAGUUUUCCGUGGCCGAGGAUGCUCAGCCUGGACCAAGCCAAAGCUCCUUCCAAGUACUACAGUGUCCGUCACCAUUACUAGACAGUGACCGACACUGACGCCAUCCCUAAUCCUGCUCGUGGGGUACAUGUUACAGAGUUCUUUUAACUACCACUUUCAAUUGGAACAUGCUGAAUUCUCGCUUAUCCUACAGUCAAGUAACCCUUUAACUUUACUCUUGGAUAAUUUUGUACAGUGGUUCAUCUCAAAAUAUUUUUCCAAAGAGGAAAAGAACUGCUCAGCCAGAUGAGGAAAUCUCUGAGGAAACCCCUUCUCUACUACCUCCCUGCAGGACUGGAAGGCCACUCAGUUUCGCUCCAGAUGCGGUGAACUCCAAUGCUGCACCUCCGCUGUAGCUCAGCUCACUGUGCUGAAUGCCGGGGUUUCUGUAAAUCACAUGUACAUAUGGGAAGAGUUGUAUACAGUUUAAACCUGGAUGGCUGGGAGGGUUGUUUUUUUACUUUUGAAAUGUGUUGCCAUAAAACCAGUGAUUGUAAUUGCAAAUUUGAGGCUAUAAAUUGGUAAAAUCUAUAGCUACAAAGAAAAAAAAAUGUACUCAAGCCCUUCAUUUAUAGUGUCAAAUUUUAUUUUUGAAUUUUAUUUAAAAUCUCUAUUUUCAUAUGAAAAUAAAAGAUAAAAUAGUCUGUCAUCU